ACCCGCACAAGCGGUGGAUCAUGUUGUUUAAUUCGACGAUACGCGAAGAACCUUACCAGGUCUUGACAUCCCCUGCAAAGCUAUGGAGACAUAGUGGAGGUUAUCAGGGAGACAGGUGGUGCAUGGUUGUCGUCAGCUCGUGUCGUGAGAUGUUGGGUUAAGUCCCGCAACGAGCGCAACCCUUAUUGCUAGUUACCAUCAUUAAGUUGGGGACUCUAGCGAGACUGCCAGUGAUAAACUGGAGGAAGGUGGGGAUGACGUCAAAUCAUCAUGCCCCUUAUGACCUGGGCUACAAACGUGAUACAAUGGCUGAAACAAAGGGCAGCGAAGGAGCGAUCUGGAGCGAAACCCAAAAAAGCAGUCUCAGUUCGGAUUGAAGUCUGCAACUCGACUUCAUGAAGUCGGAAUCGCUAGUAAUCGCGGAUCAGAACGCCGCGGUGAAUACGUUCUCGGGGUUU
rnacentral:rRNA from 1 species